rnacentral:rRNA from 1 species
CACUCCUACGGGAGGCAGCAGUGGGGAAUAUCGCACAAUGGGCGCAAGCCUGAUGCAGCCAUGCCGCGUGUAUGAAGAAGGCCUUCGGGUUGUAAAGUACUUUCAGCGGGGAGGAAGGCGAUAAGGUUAAUAACCUUGUCGAUUGACGUUACCCGCAGAAGAAGCACCGGCUAACUCCGUGCCAGCAGCCGCGGUAAUACGGAGGGUGCAAGCGUUAAUCGGAAUUACUGGGCGUAAAGCGCACGCAGGCGGUCUGUCAAGUCGGAUGUGAAAUCCCCGGGCUCAACCUGGGAACUGCAUUCGAAACUGGCAGGCUAGAGUCUUGUAGAGGGGGGUAGAAUUCCAGGUGUAGCGGUGAAAUGCGUAGAGAUCUGGAGGAAUACCGGUGGCGAAGGCGGCCCCCUGGACAAAGUCUGACGCUCAGGUGCGAAAGCGUGGGGAGCAAACAGGAUUAGAAACCCUUGUAGUCCC